rnacentral:rRNA from 1 species
GUGGGGAAUAUUGGACAAUGGGCGCAAGCCUGAUCCAGCCAUGCCGCGUGAGUGAUGAAGGCCCUAGGGUUGUAAAGCUCUUUCACCGGAGAAGAUAAUGACGGUAUCCGGAGAAGAAGCCCCGGCUAACUUCGUGCCAGCAGCCGCGGUAAUACGAAGGGGGCUAGCGUUGUUCGGAAUUACUGGGCGUAAAGCGCACGUAGGCGGACAUUUAAGUCAGGGGUGAAAUCCCGGAGCUCAACUCCGGAACUGCCUUUGAUACUGGGUGUCUGGAGUAUGGAAGAGGUGAGUGGAAUUCCGGGUGUAGAGGUGAAAUUCGUAGAUAUUCGGAGGAACACCAGUGGCGAAGGCGGCUCACUGGUCCAUUACUGACGCUGAGGUGCGAAAGCGUGGGGAGCAAACAGGAUUAGAAACCCGGGUAGUCC